UACGAAGGGGGCUAGCGUUGCUCGGAAUUACUGGGCGUAAAGGGCGCGUAGGCGGAUGUCUAAGUUGGGGGUGAAAUCCCGGGGCUCAACCUCGGAACCGCCUUCAAUACUGGAUAUCUUGAGUUCGGGAGAGGUGAGUGGAAUGCCGAGUGUAGAGGUGAAAUUCGUAGAUAUUCGGCGGAACACCGGUGGCGAAGGCGACUCACUGGCCCGAUACUGACGCUGAGGCGCGAAAGCGUGGGGAGCAAACAGG
rnacentral:rRNA from 1 species